ACACUACAAGGCUGUUUACCAAGCCUGCUGGAGCCUCUGAAGGGCAGCAGCCAGCUCACCCCCCAUGCCCUGGAUGGCAACAAGGCACAGGAGACCGCAGAGCAUACAAACAGGGCAAGAGGAAACCAUCUAUCAAUGACCAGGGACCAGAGGAAGCAAAGUUCUAACAUCUCGCUCACGUUCUCCCAAGGCCCAGAGAUGAUACCAGGCAAAGUAAAACCUGGGUUGUGGUGACAGCAGCACUCGUGUCUGACGUCUGAUGCAGACCCUUCCAUGAAGGCAGGUCACUGACUUGCUCUCACCCUCAGCCCCUCUGCAUAUAAUUCUCAGUUUCUCCAGAAAGCAUUUUACCUGUGCUUCAGAGGGACUAUUUAACAAAGACAUUUGCCAUUUUCCACUCCUUCUUUAGCCUCCCUAGGAGAUGCCCGGUGGCUGACACCCAGAGGAAGCACAGCCUCCCCUCUGAAGCUUCCUCUACUGCAGUCUCUGUGCUCAUCGCAAGGAUCUCUCCAUAUUGACUUAUAUUUGUUUCUGGUCUUAUAUUUUUCUCUAUGGACAGACUUCUAUUUUCAGAAGAUAGAUAUUUAAGUCACAAUAUUCUGGACUCUGGCUUAGUUAGACCAACCGUCUCUUGAUCGUCUGUGGAAACUGAAUCAGGAACACCCCAGAGAGCUGGCUCUGGAUGUAAUUCACAGCUUCAUUUAAUUAUUAUCAUCAAAGUUAAUGAAGGCCAUAAACUGUUUCAUAACAUACCAAUGGGAAGUGUGAUUGGAGGGAAAGCUGGACACCUCACCAUAAAACUGGCACAGCAGAAACGGCUCGACUUAACAAAACCUUCUUAUGAAGAAAAAGACAAUGAAACCAUGUUCAGUUUAGUGAACCUUUCACACUUGGCAACAUGAAUGUUAAGUCAAAAGAACAAUGGAGCUAUGAGUUUUUUUAAUCAAAUUUUUAUUUUGGGUCAAAUAAGCCAUUUUGUUUGUUUGUUAUUAAGUGUAAAGAGAGCUUUCGGUUAGCUAUUUAGUUAUAACUUUAUCUCACCCACUUCUAAAAAAGCGUUGAGGCUACUUGAAGUAAAGUCCUGUAGACGAGAGAGCGUAACACUAAAAGAUAGAAAGAAAACUUAGAAGAUGGAAGAGAAAUAAUUGCACUAGAAACCUGGCCAAUAUCAUGAACAGGCUCCAUAUAGGGACUCCUGUAUAUAGAUCGCUGUGUGUGUGGAUAGUACGUUCAAUAAAUGUAUUAUCUGAACUGCUUUUAAAGUUCUACUCUUGGAUUCCUGAAAUACUAUCUCUAUGGAUUUGCCUAUUCUGGAUGCUUCAUAUAGAUGGAAUCAUUCAUUACGCAACCCUUUGUAUCUGGCUUCUUUCAUUUAGCAUGAGGCUUUCCAGGUUCAUCCAUAUCAUAAGAAGUAUCAGUAUUUUACUCCACUUUAAAGUUCUGUAAUAGUUACUAUCUAUCUAUUUGGUAUACAUACAUGUAUAUAUUAAUUUUGCUUAUCCAUUUAUUCAUUUAUGAACAUUUGGAUUGUUUCUACCUCUUGGAAUUGUAAAUCAUGCUGUUAUGAACAUGGAUGUACACAUA
ensembl:lncRNA LINC02251 long intergenic non-protein coding RNA 2251